GCAUGAGCUAUCACACCUGGCUGUAGAUAAAUUUUAAAAUAAUCUUGCCAAACUCCUUUAGCAAAAUUUAUUUGAAAUUCCAUUGUGAUUAUAUUCAGUGUUAAGAGAGAAACAAUAUAUUCCCUAUGUGGUAACAACAAUUUGAAUGACGGUAGCUUUGUCAUCUGAAACCACGGAGGCCAGAGGGAGGUGGCACAUUUUCCAAGUGCUUGAAAGAUUUGUCAACCUCUAAUUCUAUAUCUACCAAAAAUACCUUUCAGGAAUUAAGAAGAAAUAAAAGCAUUUCAGAUGAAGCAAAAUAAUAAUUGGUUGACUGCCCUUCAAGACUGACUCACAGAGCAUCUCUGACUGAAAAGAGAGACUCUGGCAAACGUGGCAGCCCAGCUGCUACAUAUUUCACUGGCAGUUACCUGGGAAAAUGUCCAAAUGGAGAAAAACACCUGGUUGGUGUGAUGACCCAGGCACUUAAAAGAUACUGAUCUACAGUGAAUACCUCCAAAGUAUAUCUCAGAGUCAACUUUCAGAAAACCCAACAGAUUGCAGCUUGUACCAUUAUUGAGGUGCUCCAAAAUAGCAAAGGAUGGGCCAAAGUUUUGGAACUGGAUUACUCAUUAUCCAGCUGACAUACAAACCCCACCACUGUGGCAGGUGGAGCACAAAGAGGCCCCGGCAUAAGGAGGUGGUUCAAUCAUUAAAUAGUUCACCAAUAGUAAAUUAAGAGGAAGCACCUGUGUUAUGUAACAGAUGUUUGAACUUAGGAGAUAGAUUAUUAUUAAAUAACAGGUUUGGGUGCUGAUAUGUUUUGGCUGUGUCCCCAGCCAAACCUUAUCUUGAGUUGUAGCUCCCAUCAUCCCCCCGUGUCGUGGGAGGGACCUGGGGGAAGGUAAUUGUAUCAUGGAGGUGGGUUUUUCCCAUGCUGUUCUUGUGGUAGUGAAUAAAUCUCAUGAGAUCUGAUGGUUUUAUACGGGCAGUUCCUCUGUACACGCUCUCCUGCCUGUCACCAUGUAAGACGUGUCUUUGCUCCUCCUUCAUUGUGAGGACUUCCCAGCCAUGUGAAACUGUGAGUUCAUUAAACCUCUUUUUCUUUAUAAAUUACCCAGUCUGUGGUAUUUCUUUAUAGCAGUAUGAGAACGGACUAAUACAGUGGCUACUGCUGAAAGCCACUGAUGCUCUACAUAAAGAUAACAAACAGUUG
rnacentral:lncRNA from 10 species